AGUUGGUUGAAGAUUGUUUGGGCUAAAACGGACACAUGAAACCCAAUCGGAAUGUGAGUCCCCAUCCGUUAUUGUGUACUUACACUCACCGAGGGUGUUCCAAAGCUUGAUGGUUUUGUCACGUGAGGCUGACACGAUUUGACGGUUAUCGACGGAAAAUGCAACGGACAAAACAUCCUUAGUGUGACCUACGAAACGACGAGCGGUUGUACCAGCUUGAAGAUCCCAUAAACGGAGCUCACCGUCCCAUGAACCGGAGAGUGCAAACAUGCCGUCAGAUGAAAGGACGACGUCUUGGACGAAAUGGCCGUGGCCAGUGAGGCGGCGGCGGGGGACACCGUAUUGUGGGCCGUCUUUUGUUAGUGACC
rnacentral:lncRNA from 1 species